UACGUAGGGGGCAAGCGUUGUCCGGAAUCAUUGGGCGUAAAGCGCGUGUAGGCGGCUUGGUAAGUCCGCUCUGAAAGCCCGGGGCUCAACCCCGGGAGGCGGGGUGGAUACUGUCAAGCUCGAGUCCGAAAGAGGCGAGUGGAAUUCCUGGUGUAGCGGUGAAAUGCGCAGAUAUCAAGGAGGAACACCGGUGGCGAAGGCGGGUCUCUGGGCAGUAACUGACGCUGAGGAGCGAAAAGCGUGGGGGAGCGAAACAGGGA
rnacentral:rRNA from 1 species